rnacentral:rRNA from 1 species
AACGAACGCUGGCGGCAGGCUUAACACAUGCAAGUCGAGCGCCCCGCAAGGGGAGCGGCAGACGGGUGAGUAACGCGUGGGAAUCUACCCAUCUCUACGGAAUAACGCAUGGAAACGUGUGCUAAUACCGUAUACGUCCUUCGGGAGCAAGAUUUAUCGGAGAUGGAUGAGCCCGCGUUGGAUUAGCUAGUUGGUGGGGUAAAGGCCUACCAAGGCGACGAUCCAUAGCUGGUCUGAGAGGAUGAUCAGCCACACUGGGACUGAGACACGGCCCAGACUCCUACGGGAGGCAGCAGUGGGGAAUAUUGGACAAUGGGCGCAAGCCUGAUCCAGCCAUGCCGCGUGAGUGAUGAAGGCCCUAGGGUUGUAAAGCUCUUUCACCGGUGAAGGUAAUGACGGUAACCGGAGAAGAAGCCCCGGCUAAUUUCGUGCCAGCAGCCGCCGUAAAAC